rnacentral:rRNA from 1 species
AUUGAACGCUGGCGGCAGGCUUAACACAUGCAAGUCGAGCGAGCGGCGGACGGGUGAGUAAUGUAUGGGGACUGCCCGAUAGAGGGGGAUAACUACUGGAAACGGUGGCUAAUACCGCAUACUAUCGGAUAACCCAUAUGGGAUUAGCUAGUAGGUGGGGUAAAGGCUCACCUAGGCGACGAUCUCUAGCUGGUCUGAGAGGAUGAUCAGCUACACUGGGACUGAGACACGGCCCAGACUCCUACGGAGGCAGCAGUGGGGAAUAUUGCACAAGGGGCGCAACCCUGAGGCAGACAUGCCGCGUGGAUGAAGAAGGCAUGAGGGUUGUAAAGUACUUUCAGCGGGGAAGCGUUACCCGAAGAAUAAGCACCGGCUAACUCCGUGCCAGCCGCCGCGGUAAUAC